rnacentral:rRNA from 1 species
UACGUAGGACCCAAGCGUUAUCCGGAAUUACUGGGCGUAAAGAGUUGCGUAGGUGGCAGAGUAAGCAAACAGUGAAAUCAUGUGGCUCAACCAUAUGUCCAUUGUUUGAACUGCUCAGCUAGAGCAUGAGAGAGGUCGCUGGAAUUCCUAGUGUAGGAGUGAAAUCCGUAGAUAUUAGGAGGAACACCGAUGGCGUAAGCAGGCGACUGGCUCAUUGCUGACACUCAGGCACGAAAGCGUGGGGAGCGAACGGG